rnacentral:rRNA from 1 species
GACAGAGGAUGCAAGCGUUAUCCGGAAUGAUUGGGCGUAAAGCGUCUGUAGGUGGCUUUUUAAGUCCGCCGUCAAAUCCCAGGGCUCAACCCUGGACAGGCGGUGGAAACUACCAAGCUGGAGUACGGUAGGGGCAGAGGGAAUUUCCGGUGGAGCGGUGAAAUGCGUAGAGAUCGGGAGGAACACCAGUGGCGAAGGCGGCCCUCUGGGCCGGGCCUGACGCUGAGACGCGAGGGCGUGGGGAGCGAACGGG